rnacentral:tRNA from 1 species
AGCAGAGUCAGCUAAUUAAGCUAUUGGGCCCAUACCCCAACAAUGUUGGUUUGAAUCCUUCCUUUACUA